UCUCUCUAAUGGACGCAGAGCUGACCUGCAAAUUUGGUGAUCCAGAUGCAAUCCCUUUCAAAUGCAUGAAGCCUAUUAUCAGCAUUGUGCUGCUGUCCAUUUGGCUUCUGCUCGCCAGUCUCCAGCAUGGAACUGUAGAACCACAGAACAUCUCAAGCCAGAAGAGACACACAAGGACCAUUGGGUCCAACUCCUGACUCUAGACAGGAUCUCCAUGAAUCCAGACCCGAUGUCUGGGAGUGUUGUCCAAAGAGACAGGGUUGGCCAAACAGAGCUGCCCAGCUGUUAUAUGCUGCCUUCCAACCCACGUUCCCUGCGUGCCCCAACUGUGGUCCUGCUGCAGGAGGGCCCAACAAAUCCUGGAGACCUACUGGAAGGGCAUCAAGCCACUCGUGGUGUUCCAGUCCUUAUGAUGUGCUGUAUGCCAGUGACAGAGCCUGUCUCAUGAUGCACGAGCAAUCCCAAGCACUCAGGAGUUGAGAUCUCCUGAAAUCGACUUACCAGCAGUUGUUUCACUGCCUGUUCCCUGUUCCUCUGAUAAAGGCUCACCUGCAAGAAAGGCCAGAAUUUCCAAUUUUGCUGAGACUUUUCUACUCAAGGUAUGA